AGAAAUCUACGGUGCCAGCACGUACUUUAUGGUGGUUAUUUUCGAAGAAGUUCUGCAUAUAUCUUUUGUUUAAGGUUGCAUCGCCGUUUCACCCUUUUGAAUGUCAAUAAACCUGCUGACAACGCUCAUCGGUCUCCAGAGUCGUGACGUAAGAAAGGUACCGGGAAAUGGCACCAUACCGGCUUAAAUGUGAACGGUACCCAUCCCUAGAGAAUCACACUCAAUUUUGCCAAUACAACAUAAGAAGAGGGAAUCGAUGCUCUGUGGUCUACCUUCAGCCAGAAUAACACAAACAGUUCACUGCUGCACACCUGUUAUCUAUAUAACAAGACCAACUCUCAAUGUUCUGUCCAACUAAUUGAGUGCAGGCUUGCACAGAUUUAAACCGGCAUGGAGGUAAAGCCACAUGUCUUGCAAAAAACGAGGCUGAGAAUUUGACAUCGUCUUGAUGAAGUCAUGAUCAUGAAUGCGGUCUUUUUCCAAACAAGGGAUGUGGAAAGGAUCAAACUAACAAGUCUCCAGGGAUUCCAGAGGAAAGCCAUCGAGAGAGCCAAUGUCAGGAAAGUGUACACAAUUGACUCCAGCAAUGAAGUGAAGCAGGAAAAACACAUCAAACCGUCCCACGAUUGAGAGGGUGGUUCAGCAGCAGACUGGAAGGAGGACGCUUGCAGGAAAGGCGGCAGGAGAAUCAACCUUUUAGUUGUAUCAUAAAAGAGGCUCCGCCACUCUUUGGUUUGUCAAUGACAUGUUAAAAAAGGAGCAAACCUGAGAUCAGUUUUCAGUGCCUGGGGAAAAUAAAAAUUACACAAAAAUAUUGGAACCCGAUAUCUGUGAAUGCAUCUCGCAUUCUUGUCCGUGUAUGCCAUGGUUCUGGUACCAAGUGGGGGGGUCCUUUGCUCAAUGAUUGCAAUUCUUAUUAAACACCAGCUGUUUGAUUGUAACAUGUGUCUUAGUCGGAGUUUUGAUUGCCCAAUUUGGAGGUUUUGAAAUCACCCUGUAAAAUCGCAAAAGCUAAUUUGUUGCAUGUAUAUACAGUAGAUAGCAGUGACGUGCGGUGAGGUUGAUGGCUGGUGAGGCACUGACUUCAUCACAGUCAGAUUUACAAACAU